rnacentral:rRNA from 1 species
UACGGAACGGAGCUAAUACCGGAUAAUAUUUUGAACCGCAUGGUUCAAAAGUGAAAGACGGUCUUGCUGUCACUUAUAGAUGGAUCCGCGCUGCAUUAGCUAGUUGGUAAGGUAACGGCUUACCAAGGCAACGAUGCAUAGCCGACCUGAGAGGGUGAUCGGCCACACUGGAACUGAGACACGGUCCAG